UUGCUACCCCGCAAAAUCUCGCGACCAUUUACUCUGGCCAUCCGAAGGCGCGUGCCUGGGUUGCACUCCCGUGUCCGGCCCUCGAGGUUCUUGCCUAGGGAAGACCCGAGCCCUAGGGCCGUACUUAAGCUGCCUGCGUGCAGGACCCGGGUUUUGCUUUUGCUAAUUUCCUCCCCACCCCAGGGCUGGGCACUUACUGUGUGCAGGCGCUGUUCUAUGGACUCAGGAUACAUCAGCUACCGAAGCAAAGAUCCCUAACCUUGUGAAACUGACAUUCUGG
rnacentral:lncRNA from 1 species